CCUACGGGUGGCAGCAGUGAGGAAUAUUGGUCAAUGGACGAGAGUCUGAACCAGCCACGUAGCGUGAAGGAUGACUGCCCUAUGGGUUGUAAACUUCUUUUAUAUGGGAAUAAAAUGUUCCACGUGUGGGAUUUUGUAUGUCCCAUAUGAAUAAGGAUCGGCUAACUCCGUGCCAGCAGCCGCGGUAAUACGGAGGGUCCGAGCGUUAUCCGGAUUUAUUGGGUUUAAAGGGAGCGUAGGUGGAUGGUUAAGUCAGUUGUGAAAGUUUGCGGCUCAACCGUAAAAUUGCAGUUGAAACUGGCAGUCUUGAGUACAGUAGAGGUGGGCGGAAUUCGUGGUGUAGCGGUGAAAUGCUUAGAUAUCACGAAGAACUCCGAUUGCGAAGGCAGUUCACUGGACUGCAACUGACACUGAGGCUCGAAAGUGUGGGUAUCAAACAGGAUUAGAUACCCUGGUAGUC
rnacentral:rRNA from 1 species